ensembl:lncRNA
GAGUAUCAGGUAGGAAGUGGUAAGAGGCAACAUCAGAGGCAGAAGCAAGGCUAGGUUGAGGUGGAUUCUUUACCAGCUGAGCUACCAGGACACCUCAAACUCUUCUAGUUUCUGCUAUUAUUUGAAAGAACCAGGGCACUAGAAAAGAGAUUGUUACAAAUUACUGGAACUGAUUUUGAAAACACUGAUCACUUACCCCUAUUGAAUCUUCUACCAUCUUCCUUGUGGAAAAAAAUCUCCAACUGAUAUUGGCAAGAUCACAGUGCACCCCCCAUCAAGAUUCAAAUAGAUCUCUUAAAACCUCUUCCCAGAAUUAGUCAAUACUCUUUGAGUAAAGAAGCCCUUCAAGGCAUAAAGCUCAUAAUAAAAGAUUACAAGGC